UGGGGGAUUUUGCACAAUGGGCGCAAGCCUGAUGCAGCGACGCCGCGUGAGGGAUGAAGGCCUUCGGGUUGUAAACCUCUUUCGCUGGGUUGAAAGGCCAUGCUUUGGGUGUGGUUGAUUUGAACUGGUAAAGAAGUACCGGCUAACUACGUGCCAGCAGCCGCGGUAAUACGUAGGGUACUAGCGUUGUCCGGAUUUAUUGGGCGUAAAGGGCUUGUAGGUGGUUUGUCGCGUCUGUCGUGAAAUCCUGUGGCUUAACCAUGGGCUUGCGGUGGGUACGGGCAGGCUUGAGUGCGGUAGGGGAGACUGGAAUUCCGGGUGUAGCGGUGGAAUGCGCAGAUAUCAGGAGGAACACCGGUGGCGAAGGCGGGUCUCUGGGCCGUUACUGACACUGAGGAGCGCAAGCGUGGGGAGCGAACAGG
rnacentral:rRNA from 1 species